UACGUAGGGUGCAAGCGUUGUCCGGAAUUAUUGGGCGUAAAGAGCUCGUAGGCGGUCUGUCGCGUCUGCUGUGAAAACCUGGGGCUUAACCCCGGAUCUGCCGUGCCGACUGUUAGGCUAGAGUGCUGUAGGGGCAGGCGGAAUUCCGGGUGUAGCGGUGAAAUGCGUAGAUAUCAGGAGGAACACCGGUGGCGAAAGCGCGAGACUGGGCCAUAACUGACGCUGAGGAACGAAAGCUAGGGGAGCGAAAGGG
rnacentral:rRNA from 1 species